GUUUACUCCUUUAAGGCCAACAGGAAGUCUCAACCGCUGCUUUGAGUCUCUUUCAAAGGGCUCAUCUGCUGAAGUCAGGCUCACUUAAGCUGAUGAAGAGCCUACUAUGUGCCAGGCAGUGAGCCAAAGAAAACAGUCAGGGAGAAGAAACGCAUAAAGAGAAAAACAGUAUCACCAUAUGCUGUAGCCCAUGACCUUCAUCUCAAGUUCCCUCCUGUCUCAACACUGCUCAUACUUUCCUGACUACAAGGUAGGAAACAACAAAACAUGACCACCCCCUACUUUCCUUGCCUGGAUUCACAACGUUCUAUCAUCAGCAGUUGUACAGUGUACUUAUUUGUUUCUU